GGCGUCUUAGCUCAGCUGGGAGAGCAACAGACUGAAGCGAGUUUCGGUCAUCUGGAGGUCCCGUGUUCAAUCCACGGAGAUGCCA